rnacentral:rRNA from 1 species
GAUGAACGCUGGCGGCGUGCCUAAUACAUGCAAGUCGAGCGAACAGAUGAGAAGCUUGCUUCUCUGAUGUUAGCGGCGGACGGGUGAGUAACACGUGGGUAACCUACCUAUAAGACUGGGAUAACUCAGGGAAACCUGGGCUAAUACCGAAUAAUCCUUCGAAUCACAUGUUUUGAAGUUGAAAGGCGCUUCGGCGUCACUGUAGGAUGGGCCCGCGGUGCAUUAGCUAGUUGGUGGGGUAACGGCCUACCAAGGCAACGAUGCAUAGCCGACCUGAGAGGGUGAUCGGCCACAUUGGGACUGAGACACGGCCCAAACUCCUGCGGGAGGCAGCAGUAGGGAAUCUUCCACAAUGGACGAAAGUCUGAUGGAGCAACGCCGCGUGAGUGAUGAAGGUUUUCGGAUCGUAAAACUCUGUUGUAAGGGAAGAACAAGUACGUUAGGAAAUGAACGUACCUUGACGGUACCUUAUUAGAAAGCCACGGCUAACUACGUGCCAGCAGCCGCCGUAA